GCCUGGACUCCUGGGUCGGAGGGAGGAGGGGCCGGGGACCUGGACUCCUGUGACGGGGGGGGGGGGGGGGGGCAGAGGGCACAGGGCACUGGACUGGCAGGUCCUGACUCCCAGCCCCUCCUCAGGAGCGCCUGGACCAUGCUGCUGAGCGCCUACUGGCACGGUCUCCACCCGGGCUACUACCUGAGCUUCCUGACCAUCCCGCUGUGCCUGGCUGCGGAGGGCCGGCUGGAGUCGGCCCUGCGGGGGCGGCUGAGCCCAGGGGGGCAGAAGGCCUGGGACUGGGUGCACUGGUUCCUGAAGAUGCGCGCCUACGACUACAUGUGCAUGGGCUUCGUGCUCCUCUCAAUGGCAGACACGCUUCGGUACUGGGCCUCCAUCUACUUCUGCAUCCACUUCCUGGCCCUGGCUGCCCUGGGGCUGGGGCUGGCGUUGGGUGGGGGCAGCCCUGGCCGGCGGAAGGCAGCCUCCCAGCCCACCAACCUUGCCCCGGAGAAGCUCCGGGAGGAGUAAGCUCCCGAGACGCUCCCUCUGCCAGCGGGUCCCGGGGAUUCUGUGAACCAGGCUGCUGUCUCCUCCCCAGAAGGAGUCCUUACCUUGGCAAGGGUCCUGGAGAGAAUUUCCUCUUCCCCAGCUAAUACCCUGCCUGCCACUGAAGCAGACUUGCCCUCUGCCCAGGGGCCUCCAGUGGCCACUCUCCUCCUACAAAAUCCAAGUCUUGUCCUGACAAGAGUCUCCCUUGCCCCUGCUCCGGCUUCGGGGUCUCCAGAGAGCACUGCACUUCCCAAGAACAGAAGGGGCCUAUGAGCGGCAGGUUUGGGCAAAUUCCCUUUCUGCAUCCACAGUGUGUGGUUGGAGCCUGGGGGAGGCCCUGGGAGUCGGCAGCCUCUUCCUGUGUCUUUUGCUCUGACUUUAGCUCAUCAUGCCAAUAUUGCAGACUUGGAAGGAAGCAUAAGCUUCCCAUUUCACAAAGGGGAAACUGAGGCACGGGUGCGCAGGCCUGGGGACUGCCACUCCACGGCUUACAUCUGAGUCACCUUGGGGCCCCAAUGCUCCUGGCUCCCUCUUCUCAUUCCUUGGCCUGUGACAGGUCACAGUGUGUAAAUCUUUCCCAAUAAAGUGUUGCACAAAUGC